GACCUCUCUUCACACCUGGCUCAGGCAGUCUCCUGGGAAAGAAGCCACGGUAUGGAUGAGGCAGCUAGUGAACGGUCUCAUCUGCCAUGAGAUGCUGACAGGCCCAAAGACCAAGCGGUGUUGUUUCAGGAGAUACAGGCUGUCCUAGUAAUGAUUCCCUGCUCUUCCUUAUCUCACCUACUCAUCAUGUACCUUUUCCUAAAUGCAAGGGAGUACCUUUUGUGCUUUGCACAUUCGGCUCUAGGAACCUGGGCACCUCACUGAUACUAUUCUCAGUAGGAAUCUUCAGGGAGGACGAACAGCAUAUAUUUGGACAUCUGAGAUUUGGUUGUUGACAGUGGCAUGAAGUUUCAUUUAAAUUGCUGAGGUUGGAAGAGCGUCUUUGCAAGCUAGCUGAAUCUCAGUCCUGUUUGAAGUGGGUGUCUGGAUUCUUACGGACUUCAUUGGAACCAGGUUUUCCACAGUGAGGUUGGUAUACACAGUAAUUCUCAAGCACUGACACUUGCGGCAACUCAUGAUGGUUGAUGAAGACUUACCUUCAGCUUUGGGAUAUGCAGUGCUAACAAUGUCUGUGCAGUCUCAGAGCCGCAACAGCACAAAACGGAAUUCAGACAGCACCUUGGCUCCCUGGUGCUCCUAAAAUUGCAGGGCAGCGUAAUAAGUACAUAAUUGAAAAGCUUUUUGAUAGUAGAAGACCAACUACUUUUCUUCAGCGCACAUUAACAUUAAUCAGUUGUCUAGGUCUGGAUCAAUCUAUAGAACUGAAAUUACAGGGACGUUAGGAAGGCAAAUAAUAUUUAUUACACAAGUGCCUAAGGCUGAGAAAGUAUGGAGCUCCCCCCAACAUGACACUGUACUCCCUGCUCCAAAAAAGCUCAGAGCUGGAUAAAAGCAGCUUAAUGUUUCUGUAAAAGUGAGGGUUGCAAUUUGAUAGCAAGCGUGUGGGUUAUGUAGUACUUUGGUGCUGUAAGACUAGCUAUGAGAGUACAAAUGCAGAGAAAAGAGAAAGAGGUAGAAAUACUGAAAAGAGGAUUGUUGGCGUAGCAGUAACAGGAGAGAAAUGAAGCCGAUGUAAAAGAGAUUUUGAGCACAGGGACUGGAGCAAACAACCAGUGAACGUGGGUGAAAGUCAAACCAGAACUGCAGAAUGGCUCUGGGGGUGGUUGUCACUCCUGCCUUGGCAGCUGCUCUCAUGGCUUGCUUUUUCCCUGAGACCUGGUUCCCCCGGAAAUGGGGACUGCUGUCAUUUUAGAUGUGAGCCAGAACAUCUAUAGUUCUUUUUUUUUUUUCUCUUUCUGAACUUCCUUUUUAAGCAGACUUGAGUGAAACACACAGCAUACACAGAGGAAUGUUUGCAGUAAUGUGUUGAAAAUAUUGGCCCAGAUCUUCAAGUUUAGGAAUGAAAGCUAGGUAUCCACAAGCUAAAUUAGAGCAACUCUAAUGCUAGUUUUAAAUGAAAUCUGGCUGCUCAUAGCCUCAUUGAUCACGCGUGACAUAAAAAUAGAGAUGUUUUGAUGCCUGCCCCUUUGUUUCUUCACUACACAAGCUCUAGUCCACCUCGGGAUUUGUCCUCUGCUGAGGGAGUUCUCCAGUAACACAUUUAGCUGUCUAUUUGUUUCUUCCAUCUGCUCCUAUCUGCUAGAGCAGGGAUCAGAAUUUGUCUUGAGGAAUUCCCAUUUUCUUUUUAUAGCUUCACACUGAUUCACCAUGGGCAGGGGUUCAGGUACAAGGAAUGUUGCAGGCUGUGAACUAUAUCCUGCUCAGCUGUACACCUACAGUUUCCACCCAUUUGUAAAAAAAGACUGACAAGCAUCCAAGAGAAUAAUUUGAUCUUGUUCCUGUUAUUAGACCUGCAUGACUUGAUAUUGCUCAAGAAGUAGUUUUCUAGCUUUUGGAAGCCUGCUAUUAUCAUUAGAAGACUCUGUUACUCUUUGUAGGAAGAUGUAGGCUUUUGAUGAAGAAUAAUUCUCCUCUCCAUUUCCUCAAGCCUACUGUUUCUCUUCCAGUUAUGUCCAAACAUGGCAGCUGGGACAAAAAAGACCAUCUCUUUUCUUUGUACAGACAGGUAAUUUGUAGCUGCAUUCUGUCCAAGAUUCUGAAUAAACCAAAAAGUGUGGGAUUUUUUUUGACCUGUUUCUUUGAUCCAUACAAUUUCUGUCCCCUGAAAGGAAAUAAACCAAUGCCCAAUCCUGAAAAAAAAACCCAGUAAAGAACAAUAUAUUAUUUUAAUGCAUUUUUUAAAAAGGUAUACUUACUUAGAAACUUUAGGCAUAGCUGAUCCAGCUGGGGGUAGAAGAAUGCAGUGGAUGAGCCCAUCUCAGUGUCCCUUCCACUUAUGUUUUCUAUGGUAAUAUGAUUGGGAAGAGGAUAAUUAUCAGCAAUAUUCAGUGUGAACACAGGAGCAGAUUUGGAGCGCUGCCUGAUUACAAAGUAUUUGUCUAACACUCAUCGUCAUUAUAUGAGAAUGCUUUAAUUAGCAUUGAAAACAUUUAGUUACAUAGACCAUCUAUGGCAAAAAUAGACUGUGCGCCUCAUG